UGGGGAAUAUUGCGCAAUGGGGGAAACCCUGACGCAGCGACGCCGCGUGCGGGAUGAAGGCCUUCGGGUUGUAAACCGCUUUUGAUUGGGAGCAAGCUUUCGGGUGAGUGUACCUUUCGCAUAAGCGCCGGCUAACUACGUGCCAGCAGCCGCGGUAAUACGUAGGGCGCAAGCGUUAUCCGGAAUUAUUGGGCGUAAAGAGCUUGUAGGCGGUUCGUCGCGUCUGGUGUGAAAGGCCAUCGCUUAACGGUGGGUUUGCGCCGGGGACGGGCGGGCUAGAGUGCAGUAGGGGAGACUGGAAUUCUCGGUGUAACGGUGGAAUGUGUAGAUAUCGGGAAGAACACCAAUGGCGAAGGCAGGUCUCUGGGCUGUUACUGACGCGGAGAAGCGAAAGCGUGGGGAGCGAACAGG
rnacentral:rRNA from 1 species